AUAGUGUGAAUGUCUUCAGCUUCUUACAUGUACUGAUAUUUCUUAACAGAUCGUAUUUCCUUACGUGUGACUGUCUUCAGUACAUUGUGUGUAUUUUAACAUUAUGGUCUAAUUGGUGUGUAUUUCAAGGUUGUUUUAAGACUUACGUUUUUGAGGUUUUACUUUUCACAACAGGGCUACGCAAUAAACAGAGUUCACUUCAAUAAUUAGUGUGAGUGCAUAAUAGGAGAUAGUUUAAUUGUAUGACUUGUAAAUCAAGAUGGCCAUCCACUAAAAAAAGGCAAUAUCAGGUGAAUUAAGAUGACUAUCCAUUAAACAGGCCAAUAUAGGGUGAAUCAAGGUGGCCAUUCAUUAAAUAGGCCAAUAUAGGGUGCAUCAACGUGGCCAUCCAUUAAAUAGGCCAAUAUAGGGUGAAUCAAGGUGGACAUCAAUUAAAUAGGUCAAUGUAGGAUGAAUCAAGGUGGCCAUCCAUUAAAUAGGUCAAUAUAGGGUGAAUCAAGGUGGACAUCAAUUACAUAGGUCAAUGUAGGGUGCAUCAACGUGGCCAUCCAUUAAAUAGGCCAAUAUAGGGUGAGUCAAGGUGGCCAUCCAUUAAAUAGGCCAAUAUAGGGUGAAUCAAGGUGGACAUCAAUUAAAUAGGCCAAUAUAGGGUGCAUCAACGUGGCCAUCCAUUAAAUAGGCCAAUAUAGGGUGAAUCAAGGUGGACAUCAAUUAAAUAGGCCAAUAUAGGGUGAAUCAAGGUGGACAUCCAUUAAAUAGGCCAAUAUAGGGUGAAUCAAGGUGGCCAUUCAUUAAAUAGGCCAAUAUAGGGUGCAUCAACGUGGCCAUCCAUUAAAUAGGCCAAUAUAGGGUGAAUCAAGGUGGACAUCAAUUAAAUAGGCCAGUAUAGGGUGAAUCAAGGUGGCCAUCCAUUAAAUAGGCCAAUAUAGGGUGAAUCAAGGUGGCCAUUCAUUAAAUAGGCCAAUAUAGGGUGAAUCAACGUGGACAUCCAUUAAAUAGGCCAAUAUAGGGUGAAUCAAGGUGGACAUCAAUUAAAUAGGUCAAUGUAGGAUGAAUCAAGGUGGCCAUCCAUUAAAUAGGCCAAUAUAGGGUGAAUCAAGGUGGACAUCCAUUAAAUAGGCCAAUAUAGGGUGAAUCAAGGUGGCCAUCCAUUAAAUAGGUCAAUUUAGGGUGAAUCAAGGUGGACAUCAAUUAAAUAGGCCAAUAUAGAGUGAAUCAAGGUGGCCAUCCAUUAAAUAGGUCAAUUUAGGGUGAAUCAUGAACCUCUAUUAAACAUGCUACUGAACUCAAGUUGAUCAUUCAUUACCAGACAUCUUUAAUGUGUAAUGUGACAGGUUUCUGUUUUAAUCUGCUGAAAAACAUGGAUAAUGAGGGUAAUUUGAAGAUGUAUUUGAUAAUAUAUUCAAUCAUAGAACUGGUUACUGUUAGCGUUUUGCUGAAAAUCUUCUUAUUUGAUUAUCUGAUACAUGUUGUGAUGUACAUUGAUAAGAACUAUAUGUUAUGUUUUGAGCAUAUUAUUGACAGAAUGAAAGUAUUGACACAGAAUGUUAUAUGACUUUUAUCAUGUAAUUAUGUAAAUUGGAUGCAUUUACACGGUGCAUUUAUACUACUCUCCCCCAUCCGAACAAAAAAUCCAAAGAAAACAAAAGUCCUGCUACAUAAUGUACUAUCAUUUAACAUUUAACAAGGAUUCUUUUCUGUGAUUUUAUUCAUGUUUUUCAAGAACAAUCUUUAAUAUAUUAAUUAGAAAUUUAACCAAAGACAGGUGUAGAUUAUACUUAAUCUUCUCCUGUUCAACAAAAGUAUGUAAUGAUUUCUACUACAAAUUAUGUAUCAUUGUUCCUUUAGAUGUCUAUUUGUAUGUUUUCAUUCUAUAGACUUUUUCAAUGCACUUAAAUGUACAUGGAUUCUAUUUAUUUGAAUUGUUUUAAUGAAUUAAAUUAUUUUUGCUGUCACUUCUUUUGAUGUGAGAGUAUCUGGCAUCUUUAUAUUAGACUGGCAUUGUUCUCAGUUGUACCAAAUGAUACUGUGUAAUGGAGUCCAAAUGAUACUGUGUAAUGGAGUCCAAUUGAUACUGUGUAAUGGAGUCCAAUUGAAUCUGACACAAGUUGGCUGUUGUCUCUGUUAAAUAUAUACAUUGUACUUCAGAUAUGAAAUUAUUCCUGUUCAACCUAGAAAAACUCCAUGAAAAGUGUCAUACUGAAAUAGUCAAAUAACAAAAGGUAUAUUUCUUAUGGUAAAUUGAGGAUGCCAUCCUGGAUGUGGGUGGUGCAAUUGAGAAAACUAAACACACAAACCAUUUUGGCUAGUAAGGCACAUUCCAUUACAGGUCAGCUGAUAAGGGACACAGGAAUAAAUAUAGUCAUCAAUAGUAGAGGUUGGAUUUAGGAAAGUAAAUGUAUCAGUGACAAACCCUUUUCAUAACUUUAUCACGAGUUGUAUAUUUAUUGGUGAUAAUGCAACAUUAGUUUGGUUCAGAUACUUACUAAAGCACACUAAAAUUGAUUCCACACUAUGUCAGUAAAGAGAGAAUGCUAGAGAGUCUCUACACAUACAGUCAAACCUGUCUAUAGCGACCGCCCAAGGGGAGGCAGAAAAACGGUCACUAUAGACAGGUUGCCUUUAUAAACAGGUCAAAAUUAUUGCACCAACCAAUUUACUUAAACCUGCCCAAGGGGAAUCUUAAAACCGGUCGUUAUAGACAGGCAGUCAUUAUAUACAGGGGGUCGUUAGAGCAGGUUUGACUGUAGUAUUAAACAACAAAGGUAGGAAACAGACUUUGAAUACCACACAUUUUGUAAUAGCAAAUUGUGAAAGUAAGUAAAACACUGUGACCUUAGUCUAUGGCAGUUUUCCCAACUCGAAUGACCCAGACAGGGAGAUAAACUUGUAACUGUUGAUAUUAAAUUAUUGUAAUUAUUUAAUAGAUAUAAUCAUUUUGUGUUAAACACUCAUCAAUUUUUUACCUUUCUUGAAGGUUUCACUGUAAAAACAAACAGAAGCACAAACAAUGCAAUGGUUGAAGUUACGUGUGCUAUUUUUAUGAGUUUUGUUUUAAGGACAGACCGAUGGUGGAGCUACCUGGGUGUUACUUAAUACCUUCUCCUGUAGAAGGAGUGUUUUUUUCUGAUAAUGUCUGUAGAAGAAGUGUUUUUUUCUGAUAAUGUCUGUAGAAGGAGUUAGUUUUUUCUGAAAAUGUCUGAUGAAGUGAAAGUAUCAUCCCAGGGAGCUAUAUGACAUAUAGUUUGUAUGCACAUGCACUUUGUACUCAAAUGAAUAAAUUUGUUGUCUUUA